rnacentral:rRNA from 1 species
UGAGUAACCUGCCCUUCACUCUGGGAUAACACCGGGAAACCGGUGCUAAUACUGGAUACGACCUACUCGGGCAUCCGAUGUGGGUGGAAAGAUUUAUCGGUGAGGGAUGGACUCGCGGCCUAUCAGCUUGUUGGUGAGGUAAUGGCUCACCAAGGCGACGACGGGUAGCUGGUCUGAGAGGAUGGCCAGCCACAUUGGGACUGAGACACGGCCCAGACCUCCGUACGGGA